ensembl:lncRNA
UGAAAUAUCCACUGUGAAAUAUCUUUAUUUAUGCACUAAUGAAAGAUGGACUUAGUCCAGUAAACACAAUAACAUGUUCAUCAUCAUCACAGGGGAUAUGUACAAAACAACAAACGUUGCAGCACUGAAACCAGGAGUUUUUCCCCCUCUUUGGUCAAGAGGGCAAUGUAAAAAACUAAGACUUCAGAAUAAACAAGAGCUAUUUUCUUUAAAAGAAGCUGUAACACCAAGUUGAAUAACUGACUAUAGUCAUACAGAUUGUUAAUAAAUGGCAAAUUAGGUCAGUACCCAAGACAUAAUUUGGAGAAUACUAAUUUGACAGCAUUAAUUAGCACUUAGUGAGAGGUUAGUAAUACGAUGCUCCCUCUUUUGUGUUUUUUCUCAAAAACAUUUUUUUAAUUAACUAAAAACUUUUUAACAUUUUACUGGAAAAAUGGAAACUAACUUGACUCUUUAUUAACAAUUCUCUGUCGAUGAGAGUAUGGACCAUACAGGUAAGAGUAUUUUCGCUCUUUAGAUAUUUAUUAUAAAUUUACUGAUUUGGAUCUUGCUCACUGUGUAGUAUCAUUACAGCAUGUCCACGAAUCAUCAUUCCCCACCUUUUAACAUUAAAUACUUUGCUGUUACAUGACAUUGUCAUGCUUGUGUUACCUCAAACGUGGCAACUGAUAGUUAUUGCUUACAGCAUCCAAUCAAUCUCAGAACAGCCACCAUCUAACCAUUAGAUUAUUAUUUGCCAUUUACUAACACUGUUGUGGUGAAAUUCCAACUAGAUUUUCAGUAUAUCCUUCAGUAUAUUCUUUGUACAUCAAAAUAAAACGCAUGUUUUGUACACUUUGAUUCACUUUGAUAACUGUGUGCACAUUGACUGGAAUGAUUGGUAUGCUUUAAUAUGAACUGUUUAAAUACAAAACAAAACUGAGUAAUUCAGCAUUGAAUCUGGGAUAAUAUACAGUUACCAGCUAAUGCUAAUUGGUGCACUGUAAUGACGGGGCUGAACUUCAGGGAAUCAUACAUACUUAUUAGUGAUCACUUAAUCAACUAAUGGACCGUCAAAGGCAGAGGAGUCAAGAAUAGAUCCAACCUGGCUUUCGUGUUCCGCUCCAUGCAGGUUUUAAGUUAAAACAAGACACCCAAAGAGCUCAUAUGUUUUUUUUACUUUCAAGGUAAGCAUUUAAAACCUCAACCAAGUAUCCCCCUGAUGCCCUGCUUAAUCUCAGCAUUAUAAAAAAUACAUGCUCCCUUCUGAAAAAUCGGCAGUAUUGAGCUGCAGUUGGAUCGUGCAGAUAUAUUAACACUGGUCUGAUUUUUCUCUGCAGAGGCGUUUACUUAUCGUAGCUGUCUUCAUGUUCUCAGUAAGUACAACUAUACAACAAAUGCCACUAAACUCACACACACACACACACACACACACACACACACACACACACACACACACACACACACACACACACACAUAUAUAUACUGUAUCUGAUCAACUAGAUAGAAUGCACUUUGUCAUGAAGUAACAAUAAAACUCAAUACUUUGACAAAACAAAUUAUUUUGUAUUCCUACACAACAUCAAAUACAGUUUAAGGCAAAAAUCAACAAUUCUAAAAGUAAAACAACCCAAAAUUCAAAAACAUACAUCGAAAAUAUUUCUAUUUACAAUAUUUGCUCAUAGAAAAAUAUGUUCAACUUGCACAGAUUUUUAAACAUGACCACAAUAAGACUCAAUUCAACCUCAAGUGCACAAGACGGCAUCUGAUUUUAUCACAAAUCUAUUGGUUCCAGGGCAGCUGUAAUAAAUGGACACAAGGGCAUCCUGGUAGAACCGACAGGGAUUGUGUCUAUUAUACAAUUCUGCGAGCUACACAGCUAACAUUGUAUUGAAAUAUUGGGAUUAAAUAUUUCAGAGAGAACUUGGUUUAAUUUUUACACUUUCAGAUACAAGAAUGAGACUCAGCACAGCACAAUGUGUGCACUUAUCAACUGAAGUGGCUGUGCCACGAGCAUUUGUUGUGGUUGGCUGGAGCCACACAUGUUGUCUCUAACUAACUCUAAUCUGACAUUGCCUAACAGCUGGGGGAUGGCCAGCGGUUGUGGCCCAUUUGUGUUCUGCAGUGACCUCUACUUGCAAAGCAGUUACAGACUUUAUAAGUCAGUUAGUUAAACCAACGCACCAUGUUUUUUGUUUGAAUGUUUGAAAAUAAGAGGACAUAUUUAAAGUUUUUUUUAUUCAGAUAUAACAACUUCUAUACAUAAUAAUUUAUAUAAUCUUGUCACUUUUAGCACUUAUUACCAUGAUUACUAAGUCUGCAUGUCUUGUAUAGUUUGAUGCUAUCCAAAGUGAGAAUGACACAGUGUAAAUGAUAAAACACGUUUGAGAUAAAAGUUAUUUUUCCAUGUUCUUUGUCGUGUUACUUUUUAGUGACAUGAAGAAGCAAUGUUGAAAUAUUUAAGCAGCAAAUAUUUAACUAGUUAAAAUUCUGAAUUUGACUGCGAAGAGUGUGGAGGUAUUUAAACCCUGAAAAAGUGCACUGCAACUAUCAGUCAACUACCAAUCAAUACUUGCCAUGCUAAUUAUGCUUUCACUGUAAUGAUUUAGGCAAACAUGUUUUGAUCACCUUUUCACGGCUGUGUCUAUCAAUCAGAAAACAUUUUCGGUAAAAUUAACACUUUUCUAUGAACUAUUUAUUCAGUCGUUCAGUAGUUACAGUAACCAACAAGCAGUGACAAGAAGUACAAAUACACCAAAAUGCAUCUCUUUGUUUCUGAAGCUCGAACUGCAGCUAAAUCGAGAGCCACUGCUGUGUAGUGCAAAUGCAACCUCGGGGGUCGAGCCGUGCACACCAC